rnacentral:lncRNA from 1 species
AGAAGAGUUAAUUGAAAGCAAGAAGAUGGCAGGAAGAACUGUGCUGUGGGUGGGACCUCUGGGAACUGGAAAGGUCCUUGUGUUCUCAUUGAUUUCUGCUGCCCAAGAGGACAAUCCUCACGUAGAAGCCAAAUGGAAUAUACAUCUUAACUAGUCUUUGUUUAGCGACAUGGGUCACAUGUGUGUUUAAGAAAGGAAUCUGAUCCCAAACUCAUGAUUCUAAAAUGAAAAUCAUCCUGGCCAGAGGGGGAGGAAAGUCCUCUGAGGGGUCUGGUCGCUGGGAUGGUCCUUGAGCUCUUUCAAGUCUUCUUUGCUUGGGAAAUGCAUCUCUUUUUCUUUUCUUUUCUUAUUUUUUAACCAGUGAAUGAACUUGGGGGCACUCAACCACUGAGCCACAUCCAUUUUUUGUAUUUUACUUAGAGCCAGGGUCUCGCUAAAGUUGCUGAGGGCCUUGCUAAGUUGCUGAGGCUGGCCUCCAACUCGUGAUCCUCCUGCCUCAGCCUCCUGAGCAGUAGGAUUAUAGGUUUUCACCACUGUGCCUAGCUGAAAAUCCAUUUCUGUUGGUCCAGGGCCUCCUAAAAUUUUGUGACAGGCUGUGGCUGUGGCUCAGCGGUAGAGCGCUCGCCUUGCACAUGUGGGACCCUGGGUUCGAUCCUCAGCACCACAUAAAAAUAAAGAAGUGAAAUAAAGGUAUUGUGUCCAACUACAACUAAAAAAUAAAUAUUAAAAAAUUAAAACAAAGAUAUUAUGUCCAUGCACAAUUAAAAAAAUAUUAAAAAAUCUUCUGUGGCACAUUAUUGGAGGGGGAAAAAUGAGUCAGACAGUAUUUUUUCGAAUGCGAACUUUGCCCACCACUAUUUUGGCUAGGAGCAUGAUUGACAAAUACCAGAAACGUGCUUUGGAUCUUAAAGGGGAUUCUAGUGUUUUCCAGGCAGAGAAACAGGAAGUCUCCUGAUGGCACAAAAUGGCUCAGUUGAGUGCUGAGCUUAAAACUGCUGACUGAUUUUAUUUAUUUAUUUAUUUUUAGAGAGAGAGAGAGAGAGAGAGAGAGAGAGAGAGAGAUAUGUAUGUGGUGCUUUGGAUUGAACCCGGGCCGCACGCAUGUCAGACAAGCGUGCUACUGCUUGAGCCACAUCCCCAG